rnacentral:rRNA from 1 species
UCCGGUUGAUCCUGCCGGACCUGACUGCUAUCGGAUUGAUACUAAGCCAUGCGAGUCAUUGUAGCAAUACAAGGCAGACGGCUCAGUAACGCGUAGUCAACCUACCCUAUGGACGGGAAUAACCUCGGGAAACUGAGUAUAAUGCCCGAUAGAACAUUAUGCCUGGAAUGGGUUUAUGUUCCAAAUGAUUUAUCGCCGUAGGAUGGGACUGCGGCCUAUCAGUUUGUUGGUGAGGUAAUGGCCCACCAAGACUAUUACAGGUACGGGCUCUGAGAGGAGUGGCCCGGAGAUGGGUACUGAGACACGGACCCAGGCCCUAUGGGGCGCAGCAGGCGAGAAAACUUUGCAAUGUGCGAAAGCACGACAAGGUUAAUCCGAGUGGUUUCUGCUAAAGGAACCUUUUGUUAGUCUUAGAAACACUAACGAAUAAGGGGUGGGCAAGUUCUGGUGUCAGCCGCCGCGGUAAAACCAGCACCUCAAGUGGUCAGGAUGAUUAUUGGGCCUAAAGCAUCCGUAGCCUGCUCUGUAAGUUUUCGGUUAAAUCUGUACGCUUAACGUACAGGCCGCCGGAAAUACUGCAGAGCUAGGGAGUGGGAGAGGUAGACGGUACUCGGGAGGAAGUGGUAAAAUGCUUUGAUCUCUCGAUGACCACCUGUGGCGAAGGCGGUCUACCAGAACACGUCCGACGGUGAGGGAUGAAAGCUGGGGGAGCAAACCGGAUUAGAUACCCGGGUAGUCCCAGCUGUAAACUAUGCAAACUCAGUGAUGCAUUGGCUUGUGGCCAAUGCAGUGUUGCAGGGAAGCCGUUAAGUUUGCCGCCUGGGAAGUACGUACGCAAGUAUGAAACUUAAAGGAAUUGGCGGGGGAGCACCACAAGGGGUGAAGCCUGCGGUUCAAUUGGAGUCAACGCCGGGAA